rnacentral:rRNA from 1 species
UACGGAGGGGGCUAGCGUUGUUCGGAAUUACUGGGCGUAAAGCGCGCGUAGGCGGACCUGCAAGUCGGGGGUGAAAGCCCGAGGCUCAACCUCGGAACUGCCUUCGAUACUGCGGGUCUCGAGUCCGGGAGAGGUGAGUGGAAUUCCUAGUGUAGAGGUGAAAUUCGUAGAUAUUAGGAAGAACACCAGUGGCGAAGGCGGCUCACUGGCCCGGUACUGACGCUGAGAAGCGAAAGCAUGGGGAGCGAACAGG